GAGAUACUAGUAAAAAUUACAUAACUUUGUCAAAGUUAAAUUAUAGGUUCAAACCCUUUGUAUCUCUAU
rnacentral:tRNA from 1 species